rnacentral:rRNA from 1 species
CAAGAUGAGAUUUCCCAUAGCAUAAGCUAGUAAGACUCCUGGAAGAACACCAGGUUGAUAGGUCAGAGAUGUAAGCAUGGCAACAUGUUAAGUUGACUGAUACUAAUAAGUCGAGGGCUUGACCAAAA